UACGAAGGGGGCUAGCGUUGCUCGGAAUCACUGGGCGUAAAGCGCACGUAGGCGGGUCUUUAAGUCAGGGGUGAAAUCCUGGAGCUCAACUCCAGAACUGCCUUUGAUACUGAGGAUCUCGAGUCCGGGAGAGGUGAGUGGAACUCCGAGUGUAGAGGUGAAAUUCGUAGAUAUUCGGAAGAACACCAGUGGCGAAGGCGGCUUCCUGGCCUGUAACUGACGCUGAGACGCGAAAGCGUGGGGAGCGAACCGG
rnacentral:rRNA from 1 species